rnacentral:pre_miRNA from 1 species
CUUGGGGAUGGGGAGAGUCCUCUCAGUCUGGAUUGAGAGAGGGCACAGGCCAGACUGAGGGACCCCACCAGUGCACC